rfam:Hepatitis C virus isolate PTR2795 polyprotein gene, complete cds
AUCCCUCAUCGCCCGGGGAGGGAGGGCAGGCAUAUGUGGCCGCUAUCUCUUCAACUGGGCAGUGAGGACC